rnacentral:lncRNA from 1 species
UAUACGAAAUCUUAGUUCAAUUCAAGAUUUUAAAAGUCUUUGUAAUAGAGGUGUUAGCAGAAUCAUCAUAUUCAUAUAUAUGUGCCUUUCCAAAGUCGGGAGCCUGUAAUUCGGUUGUUUGUUUGUUCAGUGUUUGGUAUAUAUAAAUAUGACCGUUAUAUAGUUAUUUCGUUCCAAUUGUUUUACUUUUAUAGAUUUGAAGCUGUUUAUAGCUAAUUAUGCUGUAUUUGUUUUCCUUCAUUGCUACAUGUAAUUGCCGUAAGGUGACUUAUAGUUGUAAAUUCUAUGACAUUUUUU